GAUGAAGAACGCAGCGAAAUGCGAUAAGUAAUGUGAAUUGCAGAAUUCAGUGAAUCAUCGAAUCUUUGAACGCACAUUGCGCCCCUUGGUAUUCCAUGGGGCAUGCCUGUUCGAGCGUCAUUUGUACCUUCAAGCUCUGCUUGGUGUUGGGUGAUUGUCUAUCUUUGUAGACUCGCCUUAAAGUCAUUGGCAGCCGGCAUAUUGGCCUGGGAGCGCAGCACAAGUCGCGCUUCUUGUCAUGAAUGUUGGCGUCCAGUAAGUCUACAUAUUUUGCUCUUGACCUCGGAUCAGGUAGGGAUACCCGCUGAACUUAAGCAUAUCAAUAAGCGGAGGA
rnacentral:misc_RNA from 1 species